CGUGUUUUGGAGAAAAAUCCUCUGUAACCGCAUCAUCGGGCUUUUGUUCCCUAAUCAGCUGCAACACAAACAAUCAGGGAACUGGACGACGAACGUGAGACAUAAAUAAAAACAUGUGAUUUCAGGAUCUGCUCUUUGGACCGAGAGGAGGAUUUUUGGGGGAAACCUUGAAAGCACCGCGUCGUCAGUCGGUUCCUGGAAGGAGGAAGAAGAAGAAGAAGAGACCGGGCGGCCGCAGCAGCAGCAGCGGGCCACCACCUCUCCACACCCGGGCUAAUUUCACCGCGUUCCCGAGCCUUUAACCGGGAGUUCAGCCCAUCGGAACCGGAUGCCUCUAUGGUCCAGUUAACCUCCCGGCGAGACACACCGCGACCAGUUAGCACAAGAGGUGAGCCAUGGCUGAACCAAACGCCUCCCGUCCCCAAAGGAAGAUGUCCACAGCUGGGGAGAGUGUGUACAAGGUGCUAGGGCUGGAGAAAGGAGCGACUGCUGAGGACAUCAAGAAAGCGUACAGAAAACUAGCGCUGAAGUACCAUCCGGACAAGAACCCGGACAACCCGGAGGCGGCGGAUAAGUUUAAGGAGAUCAACAACGCCAACUCUAUUUUAAAUGAUGAGACCAAGAGGAAGAUUUACGACGAGUACGGCUCCAUGGGCCUGUAUGUGUCCGAGCAGUUUGGAGAGGAAAGCGUCAAAUACUACUUCCUUAUGUCCAAAUGGUGGUUUAAGGGUCUGGUUCUGUGCUGUACACUGUUCACCUGCUGCUGCUGUUGCUGCUGCUGCUGUUUCUGCUGUGGGAAGUGUAAACCACCUGAUGACGAUGACAACUACCAGUACGUGGACCCUGAGGACCUGGAGGCCCAGAUCAAAGCAGAGCAGGACGGAGGUAACACAGUAAUCAUAGGCCAGCCCAAAUCUAACCUGGCUCCAGAAAGCUCAGAAGGCCAGAGUCAGCCCAUUCCCCUGCCGCUGGCCAUGCCGCCAGCCGAGCCCAAGUCGCCAACCUCGGCCUGUCCAGCGGGGGCAGAAAACCCCGGAGAGACUUUACCAGAGUCGAAAUGACUCGAAAGUGACGGUGUGGAUGAGCCUCGACGAGCAGAAGCAGAUGGGAAGCAUAAUUCAGUAUAGGAGAAACGCAAACAUCAUAAAGAUGCGACCUUCCGAGCCCCCGUUACGACCCUGCCACAUACGACUGCUGCCGGACAUCCAGAAACCCAGAGAUCCACCAGCCAGCCCCAGCCCUCGCCCCAUAACCCAGCUCCUCCUCCUCCCACUGGACCACACCUGCCAAGUGGGCCCUCGAAGGCUCUCGGCCCACCUCCACUGAACUCGAACUGUGGAGGAGUAUUCAUGUAAAUCAAACCACUAGCCGCGCUCAGUGAGAACUUCAUGCCAACCUAGUAAAAAAAUGAGGCAUCUGGCCAUUCUUUAAUGAAUCCCCCCCGCCACAGUCCAACCUGGGGUGGGUGUGUCCACUUGUCCUGGGCUAUGAAUAUGGGAAUAUGAGGGGACAAAAAAAAAAAAACAUGGUGGAUCCUCUUAUUUAUCCACUAUCCAGAGAAAGACUGGAAUUGUCUCCAUCUCCCAUCGCUCCCAGUCUCCCUCUGUUCUGGACUAUCAGGAGCGUAUUUUUUACAUUUCUUCUGCUUAAAUUAUUUUGCCCUUCAAAAAGAAAAGCCACGAAGGCGAGUGGUCAAUUAACUCCUGUAUGAAAUUGUACAAAUCAUCUGAGACCAGCAGCGCAACGGAAACCACACAUCUCCUCCUCUUCCUCUCGUCUCAAGGAACAAUGGACUUCAGUUAAAUGUUGCAUCACUGCCCUCUAACGCUCGUUGUUUCAUGGUUUGAAAAGAUGUUUCAAAGGAGGCGUUGACAGUUGAGGGUGGAAGUCACGACUGCAUUUCACACAAACACACAAUCUGAAGAUGUGACGCAGCAGAAGUGACUGCAGGUGCGACGUCCACGGAUUAUGUGUGUUGUUAAAAACGUCUGAGCCAAAACCUGGAGAUGCAAGAUGCCGAGGAGCGGAGUCGAUUCUCACUUUCCCCUCCGUGCAUGCAUUUCUGUCCGGAUGCAUGCCCCCUAACUGUACAGCACUGGAAUUACCCGACCACAGGUCAUGGAAGAACUGCCGACUCAAACCUUACAAACUCUGGUUACACACUUCAUCCUGUAUACAAACACACACUUGUACCAGCCAACAUGUCGUUGUGUGCCACCCUUGGCUUCAAGAAGUAUAACCCCCCCCCCCAGCGUAAUAUUUAUCUCUAGGUGGACGAUAACCGAUGCCAUACCAUGAAAAACAAAGCGUCAAAGAUAUAAAUGGAAACGACUUUGAAUUAAUUCUGUUUUGUCAACACUACAUUAUUACUCUUCUUUUGUUGCAGACUAAGGCUACAUCCACACAACUAGGUUUUCGUUUGUUGACACACUACAUGUACGCCUGGCGUCCAGAAUACUCCGGAGUUUGUUUUCUCAGAUUCAUCAGGCUCCUAUCACAUGAACCCCCCCCCGGCCACCAGUGUAGAACCCAACAUGGAGAAUCCAUUACAAGUGUUACUGACCCUGUUGUGCAGUUAAAUUCUGUAUUUGACAACGAUACAACUGUUUACAUGUGGAGGAGACGAGAGUUUGUUCGAGCGACGCGAGUGGUCACAUGACGCGUGAUUUUAAAAACUGAUACGGAGCCGCAACGCUCGCGUGAAACUCCACUUUCAUUUGAAAACGUUGUAGCAUGGAUGUAGCCUUGUUUCGUAGACCAAAGCUAACAGCUCCAUGUAGCCAGCCGACCCCUCACGAGUCGGGUGGAGGCUGAUGCCAUUUGCUCUGUAAGCCACAGUUCUGUUUGUCAAAGUUUUGUGUCAUUUGCGUUUUAGGUGAAGCGAGUCUGAUGCCACCUCAUUAUCUUUUCUGUCUUUUUGCCUCUUUUCUUCCGGAACAAAAGAAAACAAUAGACUUUAAAGUGACUUGAUUAUCUAUAACCUCAGGUCCACAUUCACUGAGGAUGCAUUAGUCUCCUAAUUUGAUUGCACUGAGUUUAAUUCACUUGGCUCUGGAACAGCUCUGAGCAAGCAAUCGAUCAUAUUGUAAAUUUCAGGCCUCGCUCAUUAAGUCCUGCACCUUGUCUUUAAUUAAUUAAUUAAUCUUAAAUCAGCUCUAAAUUCAGUUUCUGAAGGCACCCAAACUCUAACCAAAUUAGCGUAAUCCUGCUAUCUAACGAAUGCUGCUAGCUAACCAGCUGCUAGCUGUAGCAUAACGUUUGGUGUACAGACGUCAGAGUGGAAUCAGUCGUCUUCUCUUGAAGAAAGAAAAGAGGCACAAAACUGUCCCUCUAAAAUUGGGCUUAUUUGAAAAGGCUUUUUGAAAACAUCUCGUCUGACGCACAUCUUGCUGCCGUGCCAUCGUUCAGGAUUGUGUGACAAACAUUGCUUAAUUGUCCGUGUGGAGUUGUGUUGCUUCUAGGUCUUUUUUGUUUUAUGAGUUUUAAAAGAAAUGUUUUCCCUCUUACAGUGGCGGGUGAAACUUUAAGGUUAAUCCUUCAUUCUUUUUCUCCUCCCAUGAUAAAUAAAGUCCACAGUGCGUCUGUCUAGUAAAUGUGAAGCUCGUCUCUCGGCUGCUGAAACUCUUCACUCCCGCCCAGUGAACUGCAGUAAACUAACGUAGACUCACACGUAGGAGCAGCUUUGUUUCAUGUCUUUGAAUCACAACCUGCUCGUAAACCAGCUGAGAUCUGUUUCUUGUCUUUGACAUAUCAGCUUGUAUUUCUCUGUGGAACUGUCUGCAAACUUAAAGGUCAUUAUUUCAUAUGAUUAUUUUAUUUUAUAUUUUUUACCAUCAAUAGCCAAAACCUGUUUUAAUUACGAGAGCGUCUAGUUACAUUUCAGGUCUUGAAUUUUCUUCAAAUCUUCUCAAAUGAACUCACUUCAGUAUAACAGCGAUGAGGCGAAAGCAGACUGGUUAUUUAUUGUUUUUUAAUUGUUGUAAAUAACUCAUGAAACAGCAAAAUUAAUGACAAUAAUUCCUUAUUGUUAAUAGACAGUUUGUAUGAAUUAAUGUCUGUUAUAACAGCGUACAUGCAUUUUUACUUUGUAUUUAUAUUGCAUAGAAUUACCAUGACUUAAAUUUAAUAAUACUAACAUUGACGUCUGCAGGAGGUCAACUUAAUGAUCAACUUUUUGGUUUCAUCGUAGGUCAUAAUCCCGGCCUCCUCUAUGUUGGUUGAUGGGACAUGCAUCAAACUUCAAAAGAACACGUUAAAUACAUUUUUAUCAAAGUUGGUUUCUCUAGUUUUUAGGUCGUUCUUAUCACACAGAUGUUUGUUCAUGUUUCUGACAAGUUUGGAAUUAAUUAGUUAUUUGAUGAUAAAAAACUGAGUGAAACGUCAUGAUUGACAGAUGAGACUCGUGAUUGGUCGAGCGCAUGUAUCGAUGGGACCUAGCUGCCAUGGCUCCAACCCCCGGUCACUGCUGUGAUCGUGUCCGUGACAUUUGGGCUUAACUUCUGGAUUGUGGGAGCACAGACUUUAAGUUCCCGUGUGUAUCUCCGACUAUAUAAAGAUGCACAACACGUCUCCUCUUCCUCUUGAACAAAAACAAAGCUGAAAUAUCUCACAUGCUGGUGCCAUCUUUUUGCACUGUGGUGUGGGGCCAGGGUAUCGAACUACCACUUAUACACUCACUCGACCAAUUGCAAGUCAGUGUCAGCCGUCAAUCUUGACAUUUUACCAUGUUUGUACAUCAUCAAAUGACAAAUUAAAACCAAACUUUAUUAGAAACUAACACUUAAACAAUCAUCAGUGUGAUGAGGUCUACGUACAAUGGCAGAAACCAUCUCUUGGAAACAUUUGUUUGUGCGUGUCCCAUCUGCUAACAUGGAGGACGCGGGGGUUUGUAACCUAUACUGCAGCCAGCCAGCAGGGGGCGUCACGUCGUCCAUUUUAAAGUCAUCAACACAUCGUGGAGCGAACGUUCUUCCUUCGACUUCCUCGCUCUCUGCUGGGAAGUUGUUCAGUGGUACAAUCUUCUAAAAGAAGUUUUUUUCUUUUCUUCAGUGUCAAGAAACUAUUAAAUUGAAAAAAUGAGUCGACCAGCACGAGGAAGACGUUUUAUCAUUUUAGGUGACGUUUUAAUUUUUUAUGUUUUUCUUUUGGCUGUGGACGAUCUGUAAAUGAGUUAUUAAUGAAAUUCAACCAAAUAAAAAACAACGGGGAUUUUAUAACUUC